UGGGGAAUAUUGCACAAUGGGGGAAACCCUGAUGCAGCGACGCCGCGUGAACGAAGAAGGUAUUCGUAUCGUAAAGUUCUGUCCUAUGGGAAGAUAAUGACAGUACCAUAGAAGAAAGCUCCGGCUAAAUACGUGCCAGCAGCCGCGGUAAUACGUAUGGAGCGAGCGUUGUCCGGAAUUAUUGGGCGUAAAGGGUACGCAGGCGGUUUAAUAAGUCGAAUGUUAAAGAUCGGGGCUCAACCCCGCAAAGCAUUGGAAACUGAUAAACUUGAGUAGUGGAGAGGAAAGUGGAAUUCCUAGUGUAGUGGUGAAAUACGUAGAUAUUAGGAGGAAUACCAGUAGCGAAGGCGACUUUCUGGACACAAACUGACGCUGAGGUACGGAAGCGUGGGGAGCAAACAGG
rnacentral:rRNA from 1 species